GGCCAGUGUGAUGUAAUGGUUUGAGCAUUGGACUAGGACACUGGGAGACCAGGGUUCGAAUCCCAGCUUGGCCA
rnacentral:tRNA from 1 species